CACUAGGUCAAUUUUUUAUUUAUAUCUGUAGUCAGAUUCUUCUAUGUAAACUUUUUGUGUUCAUCUAUAUGAUUCCUAGACACAGAUUUUUGGUGUGAUAUUUCAAUUCUUUAUCUGUUCGGGUGGUACUAAAGGCAUCCUUUUUGCCAAUUAUUUAGUAUUAACUUGUUAUCGAUGCCGAAGAUUAAACGUUUUAAGAAUCCACUAAAAUCUGCUAAAGGACAUGCUUCAUCAUCAACUACUCCAAUGUCAAGAGCCCUCCCAGAUGCUUCAACAAAUCACUCACAAGUUCAUGAAGUCCAACAACAAGAAGCAACUCAUGCUCUCCCCCAACAAGAACAAGUUUCAAUUCCCCCACAACAAAAACAAGCUCCAAUUUUUUUGCAGUAAGAACAAGCUUCAAUUCUACCUUCUAAUUCAAGUGCAACAUCGAUGCAUCGACGUUCAUCUCCAAAAUAUUGGAGAGUAGAUGCAUCGACGUUCAUCUCCAAAAUAUUGGAGAGUAGAUACAAAAGACUCAAAAAAAAAAAGCUAUCAAGCAAAUUAAUGUCAAGGUCAAUGAGGUUAAUUACCUACCUGUUGGAGAGCGCAUCAUUGUGAAUUUUGAUGACUAUGACGCAGCAUAUGGUGAUGCGCAAGGAUUGCUCGUCGGCUAUUGCGGAUCGUUGGUAAUUGAUUAUAAUUUAUUUCCUAUUAGUUUUGAGAAGUGGUCAGGGCCAUCAGACAUGCCUAAGAAGUACAUGGAAGACUGCUUUGAAACAAUACUGAAGUGUCGUUUUGUUUUUCAGGCAAAUGAGUCCAUUGCAUACAGAUAUUGUAAUGCUAGUAUCUCAAAGAAGUGGGCUACACAUAGAUAAAGGUUAUGGAAUGAAUAUUUUGACCCAGUCAAAAGCAAAAAUGGGAUUAUUAGUAAUGUACAAUCUGGUAUAACUAAAGAUCAAUGGGCUAGUUUUGUUGCCUACCGCCUGAAACCAUCAACAAUAGAGCUGAGCUUUGUAGAAGAAAUAAGAAAAUUUAGCGAAAGCAAAAAAUGCCACACACUGGUGGUUCAAAAGCUAACUCAAGAAG